rnacentral:rRNA from 1 species
GUGCCAGCAGCCGCGGUAAUACGUAGGGUGCAAGCGUUAAUCGGAAUUACUGGGCGUAAAGCGUGCGCAGGCGGUUUUGUAAGUCUGUCGUGAAAGCCCCGGGCUCAACCUGGGAAUUGCGAUGGAGACUGCAAGGCUUGAAUCUGGCAGAGGGGGGUAGAAUUCCACGUGUAGCAGUGAAAUGCGUAGAGAUGUGGAGGAACACCGAUGGCGAAGGCAGCCCCCUGGGUCAAGAUUGACGCUCAUGCACGAAAGCGUGGGGAGCAAACAGGAUUAGA